AGUAGUUUGAUCAGUGGCUCGAGGACGACGCUGGCGGCGUGCCUAAUACAUGCAAGUAGAACGCUGAAGACUUUAGCUUGCUAAAGUUGGAAGAGUUGCGAACGGGUGAGUAACGCGUAGGUAACCUGCCUACUAGCGGGGGAUAACUAUUGGAAACGAUAGCUAAUACCGCAUAACAGCAUUUAACCCAUGUUAGAUGCUUGAAAGGAGCAAUUGCUUCACUAGUAGAUGGACCUGCGUUGUAUUAGCUAGUUGGUGAGGUAACGGCUCACCAAGGCGACGAUACAUAGCCGACCUGAGAGGGUGAUCGGCCACACUGGGACUGAGACACGGCCCAGACUCC
rnacentral:rRNA from 1 species